GGCUGGUCCAAGUGGCAUUUACAACUGAUAGAUCACAACCAGUUACAGAGUUCUCUGUUCCUUCUCCACUUCCACUGCUCCACUUGACUAGCCUAAA
ensembl:misc_RNA Y_RNA Y RNA